rnacentral:rRNA from 1 species
UACGUAGGGAGCAAGCGUUGUCCGGAAUCAUUGGGCGUAAAGCGCGCGUAGGCGGCCCGGAAAGUCGGGCGUGAAAUGCCGGGGCUCAACCCCGGGACUGCGUCCGAUACUUCCGAGCUGGAGGUAGGUAGGGGGAGAUCGGAAUUCCUGGUGUAGCGGUGAAAUGCGCAGAUAUCAGGAGGAACACCGGUGGCGAAGGCGGAUCUCUGGGCCUUACCUGACGCUGAGGCGCGAAAGCUAGGGGAGCGAACAGG